UGGGGAAUAUUGGACAAUGGGCGAAAGCCUGAUCCAGCCAUGCCGCGUGUGUGAAGAAGGUCUUCGGAUUGUAAAGCACUUUAAGUUGGGAGGAAGGGCAUUAACCUAAUACGUUAGUGUUUUGACGUUACCGACAGAAUAAGAACCGGCUAACUCUGUGCCAGCAGCCGCGGUAAUACAGAGGGUGCAAGCGUUAAUCGGAAUUACUGGGCGUAAAGCGCGCGUAGGUGGUUUGUUAAGUUGGAUGUGAAAUCCCCGGGCUCAACCUGGGAACUGCAUUCAAAACUGACUGACUAGAGUAUGGUAGAGGGUGGUGGAAUUUCCUGUGUAGCGGUGAAAUGCGUAGAUAUAGGAAGGAACACCAGUGGCGAAGGCGUCCACCUGGACUAAUACUGACACUGAGGUGCGAAAGCGUGGGGAGCAAACA
rnacentral:rRNA from 1 species